rnacentral:rRNA from 1 species
GACAGAGGUCCCGAGCGUUAGGCGGAAUCACUGGGCUUAAAGCGUGUGUAGGCGGAUCGUUAAGUGCUUUGUGAAAUCCCACGGCUUAACCGUGGAACUGCUUGGCAUACUGGCGGUCUUGAGCAACCUAGGGGCAAGCGGAACAAAUGGUGGAGCGGUGAAAUGCGUAGAUAUCAUUUGGAACGCCAAUGGUGAAAACAGCUUGCUGGGGGUUUGCUGACGCUGAGACACGAAAGCCAGGGGAGCAAACGGGG